AGAGCAAGGGGGAGGUUUUCAAAUCUCACCAGGUCUAACAAGCAGGGGUUGAGAAUCACUGUUCCAAGCCUUUUGGGAGCUCUUCCUAUAAAAAUGCCUUCAAAGUCUAUGACACUUCCCAUGAAUCCUGUCAACAAGAUUCUUAUUUUAAAGACAGACUGGAUUUUAAAAAAAGAAACAGCUUUAGGUUGUUUAGAACUGAAUCUGUGGAAUAGGAGUGAAAUACUGGUCCUUGUCCUCAAGAGGAGGAGAAACCUCAGAAAUACACCUGGGAUCCUCGUGUGAGCCCAGGUGGUUUCAAAGGUAAUCAUUCACUGAGCACAAGCCGGAGCUCUGCUGAGGCCAAAGCUCUCAAGCAGAUCAGAGCUGGUUCUCCAGGCGAAUGGCAGCCAGGACCCAGGUCCUGAAUUCUCCUGCCACUGGGACUGCCUCACAUUGGCAUCUAUUUGAGGGGCUUUGCUAAAUGCCCUGGCCCGCUUCUGCCACAUGGAGUUGUGCCCUCAAAAUAUUCCUGGUUUCCGAGGCAAAGGUGCUCUCUAUUGUUCCUGUUUUGUGUCCAGCAUCUCCAGGCUGCACUGAAGCUCAAGCUGUGGCCUGGGGUUGAGGGUACCAGAUCCCAGGAAGGCUGAGAGUCCCUUAACAUCCCCAGGAAUGGGACAGAGUAACAUCAUAUACCUCCUGAUAUGCUACUCUGAGAUGAACCCAGCAUCACCUUUGGGGUACCCCAGCCAAGACUGUACAGCAUAAAUCAUCAUAAGGAAACAUCAGACAAACCUGAAAUGAGUUGCUGAACUCGUUGCCUAGGAUCCACAAUUGAAAAGAAAAGCAUCUGUUCCCAAAGGAGACUGAAACAUAAACAGAAAAACCCAGCACCAUGUGCAGGCUGCAGGAACGGAAUGAGUGAUGGAGUACAGCAGGAAACCAGACGGACUUGUUUGCUACCCUUAUGGACCUUCAAGGGGAAGACAGACAUUAAAUAAAUACACGCCUGAAGAGUGUUUUAAAAGGAGGAAUAUGGGGGCAGACAAGGGCAUCGCACACCUGGAGGGAACCAGGAUGUGGAGCAG
ensembl:lncRNA